AUCCCUGUAGCGCAAUGAAUAGCGUGUUAAACUCCUAAUCCAAAGGUAUUGGAUUCAAAUCCUAUCUGGGAUG